CACCGGCAGCUCUAGUGGUAGCUGUUUUUAUUGGGCCUAAAGCGUUCGUAGCCGGUUUGAUAAGUCUCUGGUGAAAUCCUGUAGCUCAACUGUUGGAAAUGCUGGUGAUACUGUUGAACUUGAGGUCGGGAGAGGUUAGCGGUACUCCCAGGGUAGAGGUGAAAUUCUGUAAUCCUGGGAGGACCACCUGUGGCGAAGGCGGCUAACUGGAACGAACCUGACGGUGAGGGACGAAAGCUAGGGGCGCGAACCGGAUUAGAUACCCUGGUAGUCCCUGAGCGGG
rnacentral:rRNA from 1 species